rnacentral:rRNA from 1 species
AGAGCGAACGCUGGCGGCAGGCCUAAUACAUGCAAGUCGAGCGGUCCCUUCGGGGGCAGCGGCGGACGGGUGAGUAACGCGUGGGAACGUGCCCUUUGGUACGGAACAACUGAGGGAAACUUCAGCUAAUACCGUAUGUGCCCUUCGGGGGAAAGAUUUAUCGCCAUUUGGAGCGGCCCGCGUUGGAUUAGGUAGUUGGUGAGAUAAAGGCUCACCAAGCCUACGAUCCAUAGCUGGUCUGAGAGGAUGAUCAGCCACACUGGGACUGAGACACGGCCCAGACUCCGACGGGAGCAGCAGUAGGAAUCUGCGCAAGUGGGACGAAGCCUGACGCAGCCAUCGCCGUGUGAAUGAGUAGAAGGUCGUUAGUAUUAGUAAAAUUCGUUACGACCGGG